rnacentral:rRNA from 1 species
AUUGAACGCUGGCGGCAGGCCUAACACAUGCAAGUCGAGCGUUGCGCCGUCCGGGUGAGUAAUGCCUAGGAAUCUGCCUGGUAGUGGUGGAUAACGCCCGGAAACGGACGCUAAUACUGCCUACUAUUACUUUAGCCUAGGUCGGAUUAGCUAGUUGGUGGGGUAAUGGCCUACCAGGGCGACGAUCCGUAGCUGGUCUGAGAGGAUGAUCAGUCACAAUGGACCGGUGACACGGUCCAGACUCCUAAGGGAGGAAGCAGUGGGGAAUAUUGGACAAUGGGCGAAAGCAUGAGGCAGCCAGGCCGCGUGUGUGAAGAAGGUCUUCGGGUUGUAAAGCACUUUAAGGUUGGAGGCGUUAACAACAGAAUAAGCACCGGCUAACUUCGUGCCAGCAGCCGCGGUAAUUC